CCUACGGGUGGCAGCAGUGAGGAAUAUUGGUCAAUGGACGAAAGUCUGAACCAGCCACGCCGCGUGAAGGAAGACGGCCCUAUGAGUUGUAAACUUCUUUUAUACGGGAAUAAAAGCUUCUACGUGUCUGUUCCUGUAUGUACCGUAUGAAUAAGGAUCGGCUAACUCCGGGCCAGCAGCCGCGGUAAUACGGAGGAUUCAAGCGUUAUCCGGAUUUAUUGGGUUUAAAGGGAGCGUAGGCGGUUUGUUAAGUUAGAGGUGAAAGUCUGCGGCUCAACUGGCGAAUUGCAUUUGAUACUGUGAGUCUUGAGUGUAGUUGCGGUAGGCGGAAUUCAUGGUGUAGCGGUGAAAUGCUUAGAUAUCAGGAAGAACACCGAUUGCGAAGGCAGCUUACUGAGCUGUAACUGACGUUGAGGCUCGAAAGUGUGGGUAGCAAACAGGAUUAGAUACCCGGGUAGUC
rnacentral:rRNA from 1 species